AUUGAACGCUGGCGGCAGGCCUAACACAUGCAAGUCGAACGGCAGCACAGAAGAGCUUGCUCUUUGGGUGGCGAGUGGCGGACGGGUGAGUAAUGUCUGGGAGACUGCCCGAUGGAGGGGGAUAACUACUGGAAACGGUAGCUAAUACCGCAUAACGUCGCAAGACCAAAGUGGGGGACCUUCGGGCCUCACACCAUCGGAUGUGCCCAGAUGGGAUUAGCUAGUAGGUGGGGUAAUGGCUCACCUAGGCGACGAUCCCUAGCUGGUCUGACCGGAUGACCAGCCACACUGGAACUGAGACACGGUCCAGACUCCUACAGGAGGCAGCAGUGGGGAAUAUUGCACAAUGGGCGCAAGCCUGAUGCAGCCAUGCCGCGUGUAUGAAGAAGGCCUUCGGGUUGUAAAGUACUUUCAGCGGGGAGGAAGGCGGUGAGGUUAAUAACCUUGCCGAUUGACGUUACCCGCAGAAGAAGCACCGGCUAACUCCGUGCCAGCCGCCGCGGUAA
rnacentral:rRNA from 1 species